rnacentral:rRNA from 1 species
AUUAAACGCUGGCGGCAUGCCUUACACAUGCAAGUCGAACGGCAGCACGGGGGCAACCCUGGUGGCGAGUGGCGAACGGGUGAGUAAAGCAUCGGAACGUGCCCUGGAGUGGGGGAUAACGUAGCGAAAGUUACGCUAAUACCGCAUAUUCUGUGAGCAGGAAAGCAGGGGAUCGCAAGACCUUGCGCUCUGGGAGCGGCCGAUGUCGGAUUAGCUAGUUGGUGGGGUAAAGGCCUACCAAGGCGACGAUCCGUAGCGGGUCUGAGAGGAUGAUCCGCCACACUGGGACUGAGACACGGCCCAGACUCCUACGGGAGGCAGCAGUGGGGAAUUUUGGACAAUGGGCGAAAGCCUGAUCCAGCCAUGCCGCGUGAGUGAAGAAGGCCUCGGUGUAAG